UUAUGGGAGAAUGGAGAGUGAUGUCAUGCUACCCUGCUGAUUUUACUAUUAUUGUGCUCUUCAAGGAAUUCUCCGGCAAUUGUAUGUAUCACAAAUAUUU
rnacentral:lncRNA from 1 species